rnacentral:rRNA from 1 species
AGAGUUUGAUCCUGGCUCAGAACGAACGCUGGCGGCGUGGAUAAGACAUGCAAGUCGAGCGGGAUUUCUUUUGGUAGCAAUACCGAGAGAAAUUCAGCGGCGAACGGGUGCGUAACACGUGGGCAAUUUGCCUUAAAGUGUGGGAUAGCUCGGCGAAAGCCGAAUUAAUACCGCAUGUGGCUACUGGAGACAUCUUCGGGACGCUAAAGGUGGCGCAAGCUACCGCUUUUUGAGAAGCCCGCGGCCUAUCAGCUUGUUGGUGAGGUAACGGCUCACCAAGGCUAUGACGGGUAGCUGGUCUGAGAGGACGACCAGCCACACUGGGACUGAGACACGGCCCAGACACCUACGGGUGGCAGCAGUCGAGAAUUUUUGACAAUGGGGGAAACCCUGAUCGAGCGACGCCGCGUGGAGGAUGAAGGUCUUCGGGUUGUAAACUCCUGUCAUUUGGGAACAAGGCGCGUGUAUUAACUGUGCACGCGUUGAUAGUACCAGAAGAGGAAGAGACGGCUAACUCUGUGCCAGCAGCCGCGGUAAUACAGAGGUCUCAAGCGUUGUUCGGAUUCAUUGGGCGUAAAGGGUGUGUAGGUGGCGCGCUAAGUCGGGUGUGAAAUUUCGGAGCUUAACUCCGAAACUGCAUUCGAUACUGGCGUGCUUGAGGACUGGAGAGGAGACUGGAAUUUACGGUGUAGCAGUGAAAUGCGUAGAUAUCGUAAGGAAGACCAGUGGCGAAGGCGGGUCUCUGGACAGUUCCUGACACUGAGACACGAAGGCCAGGGGAGCAAACGGGAUUAGAUACCCUCGUAGUCC